CAGGUGGUGGCAAGGCGCGCCAAGCUCUUGGCACGGCUGGCCCAUCGCCUGCCCAACAAACAAACCCCGGCGCGGAAAGCGCCAAGGAACUUCAGCAUCACAAGAAGGAGCACGCUCCCGGCCGUGCCGGAAAUCGGACAACGCUGUCGGGGGCUUCCUUCUGUUCAUAACAAUAACGACUCUCGGCAACGGAUAUCUAGGCUCUUGCAUCGAUGAAGAACGUAGCGAAAUGCGAUACUUGGUGUGAAUUGCAGAAUCCCGUGAACCAUCGAGUCUUUGAACGCAAGUUGCGCCCGAAGCCUUCUGGCCGAGGGCACGCCUGCCUGGGUGUCACACAUCGUCGCCCCCCAAAAUCCCGAUCUCUCGCCAGAGACGCUCGGGAAGAGGAUGGGCGGAAAAUGGUCUCCCGUGCGCUCCCGUUCGCGGUUGGCCCAAAAACGAGUUCCUGGCAAAGCAAAGCCACGACCAGCGGUGGUUGUAAGACCCUCGGUACAAUUCGUGCGCCUUGCAUUGCAAGUAGGGACAUGUUGACCCCGAACGUGAUCGAG
rnacentral:misc_RNA from 1 species